rnacentral:rRNA from 2 species
AGAGUUUGAUCAUGGCUCAGAGCGAACGCUGGCGGCAGGCCUAACACAUGCAAGUCGAGCGGGCACCUUCGGGUGUCAGCGGCAGACGGGUGAGUAACGCGUGGGAACGUGCCCUUUGGUUCGGAACAACUCCGGGAAACUGGAGCUAAUACCGGAUAAGCCCUUCGGGGGAAAGAUUUAUCGCCAAAGGAUCGGCCCGCGUCUGAUUAGCUAGUUGGUAGGGUAAUGGCCUACCAAGGCGACGAUCAGUAGCUGGUCUGAGAGGAUGAUCAGCCACACUGGGACUGAGACACGGCCCAGACUCCUACGGGAGGCAGCAGUGGGGAAUAUUGGACAAUGGGCGCAAGCCUGAUCCAGCCAUGCCGCGUGAGUGAUGAAGGCCUUAGGGUUGUAAAGCUCUUUCACCCACGACGAUAAUGACGGUAGUGGGAGAAGAAGCCCCGGCUAACUUCGUGCCAGCAGCCGCGGUAAUACGAAGGGGGCUAGCGUUGCUCGGAAUCACUGGGCGUAAAGGGCGCGUAGGCGGCCGAUCAAGUCAGGGGUGAAAGCCUGUGGCUCAACCACAGAAUUGCCUUUGAUACUGUUCGGCUCGAGACCGGAAGAGGUUGGUGGAACUGCGAGUGUAGAGGUGAAAUUCGUAGAUAUUCGCAAGAACACCAGUGGCGAAGGCGGCCAACUGGUCCGGUUCUGACGCUGAGGCGCGAAAGCGUGGGGAGCAAACAGGAUUAGAUACCCCGGUAGUCC